rnacentral:rRNA from 1 species
GCUUAACACAUGCAAGUCGAGGGGCAGCAUGGUCUUAGCUUGCUAAGACUGAUGGCGACCGGCGCACGGGUGAGUAACACGUAUCCAACCUGCCGUCUACUCUUGGACAGCCUUCUGAAAGGAAGAUUAAUACAAGAUGGCAUCAUGAGUCCGCAUGUUCACAUGAUUAAAGGUAUUCCGGUAGACGAUGGGGAUGCGUUCCAUUAGAUAGUAGGCGGGGUAACGGCCCACCUAGUCUUCGAUGGAUAGGGGUUCUGAGAGGAAGGUCCACCACAUUGGAACUGAGACACGGUCCAAACUCCUACGGGAGGCAGCAGUGAGGAAUAUUGGUCAAUGGGCGAGAGCCUGAACCAGCCAAGUAGCGUGAAGGAUGACUGCCCUAUGGGUUGUAAACUUCUUUUAUAAAGGAAUAAAGUCGGGUAUGCAUACCCGUUUGCAUGUACUUUAUGAAUAAGGAUCGGCUAACUCCGUGCCAGCAGCCGCGGUAAUACGGAGGAUCCGAGCGUUAUCCGGAUUUAUUGGGUUUAAAGGGAGCGUAGAUGGAUGUUUAAGUCAGUUGUGAAAGUUUGCGGCUCAACCGUAAAAUUGCAGUUGAUACUGGAUAUCUUGAGUGCAGUUGAGGCAGGCGGAAUUCGUGGUGUAGCGGUGAAAUGCUUAGAUAUCACGAAGAACUCCGAUUGCGAAGGCAGCCUGCUAAGCUGCAACUGACAUUGAGGCUCGAAAGUGUGGGUAUCAAACAGGAUUAGAUACCCUGGUAGUCCACACGGUAAACGAUGAAUACUCGCUGUUUGCGAUAUACGGCAAGCGGCCAAGCGAAAGCGUUAAGUAUUCCACCUGGGGAGUACGCCGGCAACGGUGAAACUCAAAGGAAUUGACGGGGGCCCGCACAAGCGGAGGAACAUGUAGUUUAAUUCGAUGAUACGCGAGGAACCUUACCCGGGCUUAAAUUGCAGAUGAAUUACGGUGAAAGCCGUAAGCCGCAAGGCAUCUGUGAAGGUGCUGCAUGGUUGUCGUCAGCUCGUGCCGUGAGGUGUCGGCUUAAGUGCCAUAACGAGCGCAACCCUUGUUGUCAGUUACUAACAGGUUCCGCUGAGGACUCUGACAAGACUGCCAUCGUAAGAUGUGAGGAAGGUGGGGAUGACGUCAAAUCAGCACGGCCCUUACGUCCGGGGCUACACACGUGUUACAAUGGGGGGUACAGAGGGCCGCUACCACGCGAGUGGAUGCCAAUCCCAAAAACCUCUCUCAGUUCGGACUGGAGUCUGCAACCCGACUCCACGAAGCUGGAUUCGCUAGUAAUCGCGCAUCAACCACGGCGCGGUGAAUACGUUCCCGGGCCUUGUACACACCGCCCGUCAAGCCAUGGGAGCCGGGGGUACCUGAAGUGCGUAACCGCGAGGAGCGCCCUAGGGUAAAACUGGUGACUGGGGCUAAGU